rnacentral:lncRNA from 1 species
CUCAGACACACAUUACAUAGCACGCAGUCUUCGUGCUCUUCGUCGUCCUCUCUCUCGCUCUCUCUCGCUCUCUCUCUUUUGAACUUCAAAUCUCAGAUCUCUAUUCAAUGGCUUCAGUUACAGGAACUUCAGCCUGCAUGACCUCUCUGUCUUGCUCUUUCAAGCAGACCCAGGUCGUGUUUUUGUCUCUUUACGAUCUAAUUUCUCGAUUCUUGUAUUUGAUUCAUUGUAUCAUUUCGUGGGUUUGUUUUUAUUCCUUUGUUGAUUGAUUUAGAUCUUGAAAGUUCUGUUUUUUGCUCAUAUUUUUAAUAUCUGAAAUGUUAAUGGGUUUAAUUUUCAAUUCAUUGUUGUUUAUCUCAAAUCAGUCAAAUGUUUCGAUAUGAAAUCUCAGAUAGUUGAUUGGUGAAUAUAGGCUCUUUUGAUUCACGAAGGUUCAAGUAAAACACACACACACACACACACACACACACACACACACACACACAUGUAUAUGCAUGCAUGCGCACGCGCGCGUGUGUGUACCUUCAACUAUCAAUUCAAUUUGAUCUUUGUCUAUUAGGGUCACCGGUCACCUGUAAUCAACUUAAAACCUA